rnacentral:lncRNA from 1 species
GAGAAUUGUGUGCUCCAGAAGAGCUGGAAGCUACCAUGCUUCCUCUGUGCUUGCUUCUUCCUGCUACCUGCAUGGAGGCAGCAGUGUGCUUGGGCACUUCCCCUUCAGCGUGGUGCCUGCCUCCUUCCAUGUGCCAGAAGAACAAGGCUGUGUGCCCUGCAGAGGAUGAUCACCUGCUAAUAAGAAAAAAGCGAUUUUAGGAGCUUUUUCCAGACAACCGUACUGCAAAACUUCUGAAGGGAACAGCCAGAAACCAUCCUUUGAUUGCUGUGUGCUUUACCUCUUUGAAUUAAGUGAGCUGAUAUUACACACUAACAAGGAGUGACUUUCAUCUAUAAAAGAAAAUCCUCACAAACCAGGUGAGCUCCGUCAGUCCUGCAGUGUCCAGUCCUUUGUAUUCAUGUGGAGCCCUGGUUCUCAGUCGAGGCUUACAAAUGAACAGUACUUGAGUAAGGAAGUGAGGUUGAGGAGUUGCCACUGGUUCAGGUUUGUGUGUGGUUCCUCCAAUGCAUUUCUGGUUGUGAAUUUACUUCCCUCCAGCUGUGACAAUACCAAAGUAAUUCUAAAUGUCAGGGUUGUUCCUGUAACUGCAUAUAUUGCUAAUUGAAGUUACCUAGUUAGGUAUAUAACUGCUUUGCACUGAGCUUUCCUGGCCGUAGCCCAGGGUCAUCUUGCUAAGCGUUAUGGAUGACUUGCUGUUCAGAGAGUCUGAAUAAGUAAAGCUCAGUUUGCGGAAGGAGGUCUCUACGCCGCUGUCACAUGUGCUUUCAGGGUCUUGAAAUUUGUGAUUG